rnacentral:rRNA from 1 species
AACGAACGCUGGCGGCAUGCUUUACACAUGCAAGUCGAACGGUAACAGGUCUUCGGAUGCUGACGAGUGGCGAACGGGUGAGUAAUGCAUCGGAACGUGCCCAGUCGUGGGGGAUAACGCAGCGAGAGCUGUGCUAAUACCGCAUACGAUCUAUGGAUGAAAGCGGGGGACCGUAAGGCCUCGCGCGAUUGGAGCGGCCGAUGUCAGAUUAGGUAGUUGGUGGGGUAAAGGCCACCAAGCCAACGAUCUGUAGCUGGUCUGAGAGGACGACCAGCCACACUGGGACUGAGACACGGCCCAGACUCCGACGGGAGGCAGCAGUGGGGAAUUUUGGACAAGGGGCGCAAGCCUGAUCCAGCAAUGCCGCGUGCAGGAAGAAGGCCUUCGGGUUGUAAACUGCUUUUGUACGGAACGAAAAGGCUCUGGUUAAUGCCUGGGGCACAUGACGGUACCGUAAGAAUAAGCACCGGCUAGCUACGUGCCAGCCGCCGCGGUAAUAC